AUUGAACGCUGGCGGAAUGCUUUACACAUGCAAGUCGAACGGCAGCACGGGGGUAACCCUGGUGGCGAGUGGCGAACGGGUGAGUAAUACAUCGGAACGUGCCCAAUCGUGGGGGAUAACGUAGCGAAAGCUACGCUAAUACCGCAUACGAUCUACGGAUGAAAGCGGGGGAUCGCAAGGCCUCGCGCGAAUGGAGCGGCCGAUGGCAGAUUAGGUAGUUGGUGGGGUAAAGGCUCACCAAGCCAACGAUCUGUAGCUGGUCUGAGAGGACGACCAGCCACACUGGGACUGAGACACGGCCCAGACUCCUACGGGAGGCAGCAGUGGGGAAUUUUGGACAAUGGGCGCAAGCCUGAUCCAGCCAUUCCGCGUGCAGGAUGAAGGCCUUCGGGUUGUAAACUGCUUUUGUACGGAACGAAACGGCCCUUUCUAAUACAGAGGGCUAAUGACGGUACCGUAAGAAUAAGCACCGGCUAACUACGUGCCAGCCGCCGCGGUAA
rnacentral:rRNA from 1 species